rnacentral:lncRNA from 1 species
GCCUGUGGUGCCAGAUCAAAUAAAGGUAGUAAGAGUAUUUGUCUUUUUCCCUCCCCAAAUUGGGUUAACAGGUGGGGUUUGGGGAAGGGAGUAUGAGAACUAGCUCACUUAUGAAAUAAGUUAAUUGUCUAUAUUUAACUUUUUAGAGAAUUCUGUCUUAAACCCUUAUCCUAUCGGUAUCUAUGAAAAGAUACAAAAAGAAUAUGGCCUAAAAAGUUCCCUUGGCAAGGUUAAUAAAAAAGAGAAACAAAGCAGAAAUCGGAUUUAAAACAAAGUUAAAAUAUUUUGUACACUCAAACUGGCUUCCUUGAAUUCCCUGAAAAGUUUGCAAUGAAGGACAUUCCAUUUUGUAAUCUUGUAGUUAAAAUGCCAUGUUUUUACCACAAUGUCCUGGGUUUGAUUGCCAGUCAGGGAAUCUGUCGCUUGGAAACGUAAGUCCUUUAACUUGGGAGAAGAAACGUUUAUUUAAAAAUUGAUUUGAUGUUUGUGUUACUCUUGACUUUUGGGGUACCCAUUUGUUAUUAAUCCUUUUCCCUUUCGUUUAUAGUUUUUGAUUUCCUGUCUUCUGUCUCUAUGAGGCACAUAAGGCUUUCAGGCCUUUUUGUGUAGAUCAGAUGAAAAGCUGGGACCCUAGAGAAUAUGGCUGGACAAAAAUGUGGCUUGUACCCACUUUGUGACUAGCAAAACAUUUCUUUAUUUGAGCUGUCUUUGGAGGUGGUUCUGGAUCUUUUGAGAAUGGCAUUGCACCUCCUUGGACACACCUCACACAUCCUUGGUUGUUUAGCUGUCUUUGGGGUGGUUCUGCAUCUUGUGAGGAUCAUUUUGCACCUCUUUGGAGAUAUCUUGUGGUUACUUGGUUAAGUCAAAACCUUGGUUAAGACUUACUGGUUUUGGUGAGUCACUUGGAAAGUUAUCUAUGGUUUAAAAGAAAAAGGUUCAAAAGCUAGUAAUAUUGGCUGUUUUUCCUGGCUAAAAUCUGAUAAGAUAUUUGAAAAGAUGUUUUUAAGAGCUGUGUGGUCAAAGUCAGCUUAAUUAAAAGCUGAUAUUUGGCCGGGCGUGGUGGCUCACAUCUGUAAUCCCAGCACUUGGGAGGCCGAAGCGGGCGGAUCCCCUGAGGUCAGGAGUUCGAGAUGAGCCUGGACAACAUGGUGAAACCCAGUCUCUACUAAAAAUAUAAAAAAAUUAGCUGGCAUGAUAGCGCAUGCCUGUAAUCCCAGCUACUCAGGAGGCUGAGGUAGGGGAACUGCUUGAACCCGGGAGGUGGAGGUUGCAGUGAGCCGGGACCGCACCAUUGCACUCCAGCCUGGGCAACAAGAAUGAAACUCCGUCUCAGAAAAAACAAACAAAUAAAGGCUGAUAUUCAGGAGAUAGCCAGCUAGCUAGAUAUGCCUUUCUACUCUUUCUCUUUUGGAUUAUGUUUCUCUCCUGGGAACUUUUUUUUUUUCAGUCAACUAAACCCCUUUUCAAUUAUGUUUGAUCCUUGUUUAUCUCUUUUCUUAUUGAUGUAAUUUUUACUGAGAAAAAAUGUAAAGUUUCAUUGGCCUUCUGGAAAGCUUAACAUCGUCUCAAAUUGGGUCCUCUAAGACUUGUUCUCUCAUUUAUUUCUACUCCUUCUUUUUUUUUGCUACCAUUUAUAUUACAUAAAUCUAUGUUACAUUUAGUGACCCUGAGAUCCUUGAGGAACACAGUAAAAGCCACCACAUAUCCCCUUUUCAGGGUCUUUUAUUUUCCUCAUGGAGUUCCAAGCAUUAUGGGCAGGUCUCUCUCAGGUCUAAAAGCUGUGCUGUCUCUCACAUUAAGCAUCUCUUUGGUUUUUGAGCGUAGCAGGGGCUAAUAUGUAUUGUAAGAGCACUUGAAUUUUGGGUAUGUGAUGGCUGGCAAGUCCCUGGCAAAGCUGCAGUUUUGAAGGUGGGCUGAUAGUGGUUGCAGUGAGUGGUUAUUACUGUAGAUGGCUACUCAUUUCUUUGUGCAUUUAGAUGAGAAAAGUGAGGGUUGUACACUUGAAGACUGUAGAAACACUUGCCAUCAAGCUAUAAGGCUCCCAUGAGGGAUGAGCUGAUUAGAGUGUGUUGAUUGGCAUGAAGUUGUCCUUGCAGUGAGGUGCACUGUGGAAGCAUUACACAGUCCAGUCCUGUGGUGUUUUCUCUUUGUGGGGACCCAGGAUUCAGUGUAAACGUGAGAUUCUUGAUUUCUGGAGAUCUGGAUGUUCUGCCUUCCAGCUGCUCCUGCUUUUCACAUAUGUAAGUGUUAGGUCCUAAAAACUGCAAAUGCUUUGUUGGCCUUACUUGUUAAUGCACUUCUUGAGCUCAGUGAUUCAGUUAAUAAAUGGAAGCUAAACCUAAAAUCCACCUAUAUAACUAGAUUGGUCUCCAAAAUAUGACUUUCCUGCCACUCAGCUGGUUAUUUGGAAAGGUUUCUAAACUUUCUCUAGGUUAAUCUAUGUUUCUUUGUAAAAUCCUGUAGUAAAUUCCUAUGAUUUUGUUACCUUGAUAUCCACUUUUAAUCGUCUCUAACACAGCCAAAUUCUCUCUUAAAAACAACUUAAAUUCUCUCUGUGUGCUUUGAGAUAUAAAUUUACCACUCUUUUUUCUCCAGUACUAGGUAAGGAUUUCAUUCCUGUAGGACAGAUCAACUUUAACUGGUUCCAUUUAUAAAGCACUUCUCCUUCCUGCAGCCAUGUGAAAAAGGACGUUUGCUUCCCUUUCCACCAUGAUUUUAAGUUUCCAGAAGCCUCCCCAGCCAUGCUGAACUGUCAAGACAAGGUGGAGGUAAUUCGAUCAUGGGGGCAGCUUCCCGAAUGCUGUUGUUGUGAGAAUGAGUAAGUCUCAUGAGAUCUGAUGGUUUUAUAAGGAUCUGGCAUUUCCUCUGCUUGCACUCACUCCAUCCUGCCACACUGUGAAGAAGAUGCCUGCUUCUCCUUUCCCUUCUGCCAUGAUUAUAAAUUUCCUGAGGCCUGCCCAGCAAUGUGGAACUGAAAUUACUAUCUUACUUUGAUUCUUCUAAGAAAAGUGGUUGGGGGGAGGAGCCAAGAUGGCGGAAUAGGAACAGCUCCGGUCUACAGCACCCAGCAUGAGGGAUGCAGAAGACGGGUGAUUUCUGCAUUUCCAUCUGAGGUACCCGGUUCAUCUCACUAGGGAGUGCCAGACAGUGGGUGCAGGUCAGUGGGUGCAGCGCACCGUGUGUGAGCCGAAGCAGGGCGAGGCAUUGCCUCACUCAGGAAGUGCAAAAGGUCAGGGAGUUCCCUUUCCUAGUCAAAGAAAGGGGUGACAGACAGCACCUGGAAAAUCGGAUCACUCCCACCCGAAUACUGCGCUUUUCCGACAGGCUUAAAAAACGG